rfam:Gossypium hirsutum cultivar TM-1 unplaced genomic scaffold scaffold42.1, whole genome shotgun sequence
AACCCAUGGUGAGGGCACCUUUUCAAUAAAUCCUUAUACCUCUCCCAUGCAUCAUAUAGUGUCUCUAAGUCC